rnacentral:rRNA from 1 species
GACGAACGCUGGCGGCGUGCUUAACACAUGCAAGUCGAACGGAAAGGCCCUGCUUUUGUGGGGUGCUCGAGUGGCGAACGGGUGAGUAACACGUGAGUAACCUGCCCUUGACUUUGGGAUAACUUCAGGAAACUGGGGCUAAUACCGGAUAGGAGCUCCUGCUGCAUGGUGGGGGUUGGAAAGUUUCGGCGGUUGGGGAUGGACUCGCGGCUUAUCAGCUUGUUGGUGGGGUAGUGGCUUACCAAGGCUUUGACGGGUAGCCGGCCUGAGAGGGUGACCGGCCACAUUGGGACUGGGAUACGGCCCAGACGCCUACGGGAGGCAGCAGUGGGGAAUAUUGGACAAUGGGCGGAAGCCUGAUGCAGGAACGCCGCGGGCGGGAAGACGGCCUUCGGGUUGUAAACCGAGUUCGCCUGUGACGAAGCGUGAGUGACGGUAAUGGGUAAAGAAGCACCGGCUAAAUACGUGC